CGCAGAAGGAUUUAGAAAUCUUCAAGAAUUUCUGAGGACAGGAGCUCACAUCUGGAAGGAAAAGGAAACCUUUGUGUUAUCAUUGAGAUGAUCAUGAGUACGAAAUUCAUCCAGUUACUGAGAAACUCACAAAAUCUUUCAUCCUAUUUCAUGCUAGAAACAGGAAGAUUGGAAUCGGCCUGGAACAAAGAACUGCACCUAAGCAGACCAGAAGUAAAAUGUCUUCUUCACGGCAUAAGGACAUUUCCACUUUUCUGUGUACCUGUGUGUAUAGAAAUAGAUCAGAGCACAGUUGAAAUUAAUGGAACUGGCAUUAUUUAAGCAACUGGAAUUCCACACUGUAGGAAGGUUUUGAAAAUUGUUUGGUUGUAGAUUUUAUCUUAUCCUUUAGUGUUGUUGUGUGCCUACUGUGAUGUCUUGGUUUUUCUCAUAGACUUAAGUUUGUAAGUUUGAACUGGACUUGUUCGAUUAUAACCACAAAUUGUGUGUGUGUGUGUGUGUAUGCCUGUGUGUAUAUAUAGAAGUCAUUAUGGUAGAUGCACAGAAACUGUGCAGUGAUGUAAAUGUUCAUACUUCACAGAGCCUAUAAUUUUUAUUUUUCAAUUUGUUUUUUCAAAAAUCUCUUCUCGGGGACAACAUCUGAAGGGUAUGUUGCAUGCAUUAAAAAAGAUCAUCUCACAUGUAUUUUAUAGUUUGGGGGAAGAAAAUAUCAUGGGGAGGUCUACCUUCAGUAUCUUUAGUGCUUCCUACCUGGUAACUUGAGUUUUUAAAAGAAGAAACAAAGAGAAAGAAGAUAUGGGAGCGAAUUUAUUCCAAGAAUCUACAAUGACAUUGAAGUUGUUGGAGGAAUGUACUGUACUUAAAACAACCUUCUGUGACACAUUCAAAAAUUUCAUCUGAGCUGGAUGCAGUGGCUUGUUCCUAUAGUCCCAGCACUUUGGGAGGCUGAGGUGGGUGGAUUGCUUGAGCCCAGGAGUUGGAGACCAGUCUGGGAAACAUGGUGAGACCUCAUCUCUACAAAAUACAAAAAAAUUAGCUGGGCAUGGUGGCACGUGAAUGUAGUCUCAGCUACUCAGGAGGCUGAGAUGAGAGGAUCACUUGAAUCCAGGGAGGUCCAGGCUGCAGUGAUCUGAGAUCACACCACUGCACUCCAGCCUCGGUGACAGAGUGAGACCCUGUCCAGGAAAAAAAAAAAGAAAAAAAAAAAAGUUAAUGGCUUUGUGCUUUCGCAGGUGGAAUGAAGAGAACGUCCACCUUAAGGCUUUCAAAGACAGUGAAGCUGGGUACAGUGACACACUCCUGUAAACCUGGGACUUUGGGAAGCUGAGGCAGGAAGAUCGCUUGAGCCUAGGAGUUUGAGACCGGCCUGGGCAGCAUAGCGAGUCCUCAUCUCUAUAAAAAGAAAAAAAAAUGUUACAACACAGUGAAAUUGCAGAAACAGAACACAGCUGCCCUUUUUCAUCAAUGACCUUUUCUUCACGUGGAGGUCAACUCAGUAGGUGAGAAUAAUUAGUAGGUUCAGUAGAAUAAACUCUUUGCAAUUAAUCAGUCAGUGGAAAAUGAUGUUCAGAUGGUGAAAUGUGGAAAUGUUUUAGACAACUGUAUUUUCAGCCUGUGCGUCUCACUCACCAUCUUGUUGGGAUUAACAGUUGAGGGCCAUCAUUGUCUAAACAUGUAGCAUGCAGUUUCCCAUCAGUUUCACCGUGAAUGUGAAAAGGUGAAACUGGUGCUGACGUCGGCAGCAGGUAUCCUAAAAUUGGAAUGACACAGAGGAGAUUAGCAUGGCUCCCUUUGCAAGGAAGAUCCGUAUAUUCAUGCAGCAUUCCAAAUUUUUUUUUUUAAAAAAGGUUAUACUGUGCACUGAGAUGUGGAGCUAGAAGGAAAAGCAAUAGGUCUCAUGUUUGCUGACUAUAAAAAUAAAUCAUAGUAAUAUUAUUGAACAUUCUACUUUAAAAAUUAUUAAUAAAACCAUAAAUGAAACACUUGAGCACAUUUUAAAAAGUACAUAGACCCAUGAGUCCAUAUGCCUAUUUUUAGGUUGUCUGUUUUAUUAUCCAGGAUUUCAUACUCAGAUGAAAAUUAGCAUCAGGAAAGCCUGAAAUGCCUUAAUUGUGACCUGAUAUGCAGGAAAAUGAAAUAUGCAAGCACAUGGAUGACCUCGUUCUUUACGGACAUUGUUAUCAGCCUCUAGCCAUACAGAACAAAUGAGAAAUUAGAAGCAAUUCCAAGAGCGUGUGAUGGUGUGUCGCCCACUUUUCAGCGUUUGAAGUGACACGGGCUACCUGGUAACUGCCCAUGGCGGGGUCAUAGUUUAAAUGGCCCAAUGUCAUGUAGAGGUUACUUUAAUCAAAAUGAGCUAUAAACACGGAACAAUCACUAUAUAUAAUUUUAAAAGAGUUUACCUGGCCAGGCAUGGUGGCUCACGCCUGUAAUCCCAGCACUUUGGGAGGCUGAGGUGGGCGGAUCACCUGAGGUGAGGAGUUCGAGACCAGCCUGGCCAACAUGGCGAAACCCCCAUCUCUACUAAAAUACAGAAAUUAGGUGUGGGGGUGGGCGCCUGUAAUCCCGGCUACUCGGGAGGCUGAAGCGGGAGAAUGGCUUGAACCCGGGAGGCGAGGCUGCGGUGAGCCGAGAUUGUGCCACUGCCCUCUAACCUGGGCGACAGAGCGAGACUCCAUCUCAAAAAAUAAAAAUAAAAAAAAUAAAAA
rnacentral:lncRNA from 1 species